GAAGAUUAGCUGCUUUCCCAGAGAACCUAGGUUCAGUACCCAGCACCCACAAGGCAAUGCAUAUUAUCUAAAACAUCUGAUGUCCUCUUCUGUCCUCAGCAACCACCAGGCUGCCAUGACACACAGAUAGAAGUGCAGGCAAAACCCUUAUACUCAUAAAGUAAAAAUAAAUUUAAAAAAAAGAAACUGUCUUAUAACAAAACUUAGACACACAUACAAACGCUUACACACACACACACACACACACACACACACAUGAAUCCUGAUAAGCUAAGCAUAAGAAAAUCACUCCAGUAUCUUACUCAGGGCUGCCACCAGUUCCCCCAGCAUGCUCUGCAAAGGACAGUGGUCUUUCACCUGAGUUCCAUAUCUUGCCUGCCCCAGUUAAGUUGUCAGUGCUUUCUUGUCCCUGGGUUUUCUCAUCUAACACCAAUCUGCAGUUUUGAAAUCUCCAAAAGCUUGAAUAAUCCACAGAACGCACGUCAGACCCCUUUCCACACAGGAGGUAAGCCCCAUACUACUUCAUAUCUUCUUGAUCAAUAAAAGUUCAAAGACUUGUAGGUCCCUUCUUACCACAAUUUUGCACCUGAGUUACUUUCUUUCUCCAAGAAGUAUUAUUUCGGAUUCUUCUUCUGUGUCCCUAUCCCAGCCUCUACCACUCUCUGCCUCUUUGCUAUCUGAGGUUACUCAUGUCUGUCCCCACAUGCCUCUUUCUCGUUGCCUACGAAUAAAAGCAAUACUUCUAUAGGCCAAGCAUAGGUGGUGUGGUACCUGGCCUGUCAGCCCGGGACUUUGGAGGUUAAAGCAGAAGGACCAGCAGCCGUUCAAGACUGGCCUCUGUUACUUAGCAAGUUUGAGGCCAUCCUGGGCUACAGUGAGACUCUAUCUCAAAAGGAAUAAAAAAAAAAUCAAAAUAAACAAACAAUACAAAGAAAGCCGAAAAGAGGAGAGGAGGAGGAGAGAACAUGUGUAAAAACAAAUGAAAACAAUUAUAUCCACACCAAUACUUGACCAUAUUGUGCUGUCUGGUGAAGCCUAGAUUGGGAACAGCAUCCAGUUAAAACUUCAGUACAGCUGCUUUCAGUAACUGUUUAAUAUUACAAUGGGGCCGUUCCAUUCAGCGGGUCAGGUAAAACAUGAUAUUGUGACAAAAUUUGAAGAUAAAGCUGUGUUGCAGUCCUAUUUAAACACAGGAUAUCUGUAGACCCUCACCAACGACUGAUUUAGAGUUUUGUUUUGUGUAAUUCAUAAUAAAAGGUAUUUGGGGAGGGGGGGAAUAAAACAAAACAAAAUGUACAUCAAUACACCUACCCCUAGGAAGAGCUGGUUCUUAGCUGGCACCCUGGGGAGGCUGGCUUCUUCAAGCUCUCCUUGUCCUCAUCCCUCAGAGCCCGUGUGAGCCUGGGAAUCCCCUAGCACACAGGAAGCCUGGAGGAGCAGUGACACACCAGCUUUCCCAGCAUUUAAUGCUCUCCAGAGAGGGGCGGAGAGGGGCUGUUUAUGCUGUGAUGUGGGGCGGGCACUCCUGCAUGCUUUAUUGCCAUUCGCCAAAAAUGGUCAUUGGCUCUGGAAACACCGGCCUUGAAACUGAAUACACAAAAUACCAGGGGAAACAGUCUCCGAAAAAUAAUAAUGGGGGAAAAAACACAAAUGAAACCAACUUUUUUUCUAUUCUAAUUAAACUCCGAAGGGGGGGGAAAAUCAUCACAAGUGCUCCUAAUUUAAAGUUUUUACUUUCCAGGAAGUCUCGAAACUUUUUAAGUUUCUUGAAAGCAUUCAUUUCUGAGUCAUCCAUUUACCCACAUACCCUCUAGCAAAGAAUCCUAUGCAUACUUGAUCUCUACAUGAUGAUAAAGAAAAAGAAUAAUAAAUUGGACAAGGACAAACAGUGCCUGAAUUUCUAACACUGGCCUAGGGAAUGUCAGCAUUCAUCUUGAACGCUCUCAAAAGAAAACACAUGGCAAUCAGAUUAAGGGGCAUAUGGAGUCAAAAGAAAUAGAUUGCUGUGCACAUAUAUGUGUGCAUGAGUUGGACUACAUUGUUCUAGUUCGAUUUUUUGCUGCUGUGAUAAACACUAUGACCAAAAGCUACUUGGGGAGGAAAGGGUUAAUUUUAUCUUAGAGUUUAUGCUCCGCCAUGAAGGGAAGUCAGGGCAGGAACUGAGGAACCUGGAAGCCAGAACUGAAUCAGUGUCCAUGGAGGAAUACUACCUACACGCCUGCUCAAUUUGCUGUCUUAUACAACCCAGAACCACCUGCCUAAGAGAUGCCUCCUCCCACAAUGGGCCAGGCCCUCCCGUAGCAAUCUGCAAUCAAGAAAAUGCCUACAGGCCAAUAUGAUGAAGGCAUUUUCUCAGAUGAGGUUCCCUCUUCCCAGAUGAUGGUGAGUUGACCAAAAGAUAACCGGUACAGGUUUAAACUGCUUGAAUAGAGACCUAACAAUUGGCUUAAAGGAGAAAGAUUUGUUUCUUUCUCACAUAGGUAGUGUCUUGGUUUGGGUUUUAUUGCUAUGAAGAGACAUCAUGUUAUAAAGGACAACAUUUAAUUGGGGCUGGCUUACAGGUUCAGAAGUUCAGUCCAUUAUCACCAUGGCAGGAAUCAUAGUAGCAUCCAGGCUGACGUGGUACUGGAGGGGAGCUGAGAGUUCUCCAUCUUGAUCUGAAGGCAGCUAGGAAGAAACUCACAUCUGCAGGCAGCCAGGAGGAGGCUACCAUUCCACCCUGGCAGAGCCUGAGUAUAGGAGGAGACCUCAAAACCCACCCCAACAGUGGCACACUUCCUCUAAGAAGGCUACACCUCCUCUAAUAAGGCUACACUUCCUAACAGCGCCAUUUCCCAUGGGUCAAACAUAUUCGAACCACCACAGGUAGGUAUUACAGUCAGCAUGUGGCUAGCAUAGCCCAGUCAGUCAUUCAGGAACUGAGGCUAAGUAAUGCAGACUGCUGUGCUCAACCGCUGGUACCUGAAAGUCUUACGGGCAUCACCCAGAUAGCCAAUGAGAAGGAUGAAAGGGCUCAGCCCAGAGACUUCCCUAGACAAGAAAAGCAGAAGUCCCAUGGUUUCCACUCAUGUUCUGUUAAAGAAUGGACACUUACCAUAUCCAGCU
rnacentral:lncRNA from 1 species